rnacentral:rRNA from 1 species
GUCCACACCGUAAACGUUGGGCGCUAGGUGUGGGAUCCAUUCCACGGGUUCCGUGCCGCAGCUAACGCAUUAAGCGCCCCGCCUGGGGAGUACGGCCGCAAGGCUAAAACUCAAAGGAAUUGACGGGGGCCCGCACAAGCGGCGGAGCAUGCGGAUUAAUUCGAUGCAACGCGAAGAACCUUACCUGGGUUUGACAUACACCGGAAGCCUCCAGAGAUGGGGGUCUCUUUGAUACUGGUGUACAGGUGGUGCAUGGCUGUCGU